GAUCCUGGCUCAGGAUGAACGCUGACAGAAUGCUUAACACAUGCAAGUCUACUUGAACUUCGGUUUGGGUGGCGGACGGGUGAGUAACGCGUAAAGAACUUGCCUUACAGUUAGGGACAACAUUUGGAAACGAAUGCUAAUACCUGAUAUUAUGAUUUUAGGGCAUCCUAAGAUUAUGAAAGCUAUAUGCGCUGUGAGAGAGCUUUGCGUCCCAUUAGCUAGUUGGACAGGUAACGG
rnacentral:rRNA from 1 species